UGCAAAGAUAAAACCUUCAGUUUCCCCAA
rnacentral:sRNA from 1 species